CUGCCUGCAGCGCUGACCUGUACUCUUCUUCCAAGGGGAACUCCCGACGGGCUCUCUUUGCAUCAGGCUGGCAAAUGAGAACAACAGGGGCUGAGUGACAAAGCGAGCUCAUGAGAACAAAAAUUUCUCUUUUGUUCCCUGAUGGCUGGAACAGCGGUUGGCACACAAGAGCACUCAAAAUAUGUUCGUUGGAGGAACGAAUGAACAAAGGAGGAAAUGAAACUAAACUGCAAAAUUCAACCACAUGUACUAUAGUCAAUUUUUUCAGUAAACUUUAAAAAACCAUGUUA